rnacentral:rRNA from 1 species
UGGCGKCGGCCUAACACAUGCAAGUCGAGCGGAAACGAGUUAUCUGAACCUUCGGGGAACGAUAACGGCGUCGAGCGGCGGACGGGUGAGUAAUGCCUAGGAAAUUGCCCUGAUGUGGGGGAUAACCAUUGGAAACGAUGGCUAAUACCGCAUGAUGCCUACGGGCCAAAGAGGGGGACCUUCGGGCCUCUCGCGUCAGGAUAUGCCUAGGUGGGAUUAGCUAGUUGGUGAGGUAAGGGCUCACCAAGGCGACGAUCCCUAGCUGGUCUGAGAGGAUGAUCAGCCACACUGGAACUGAGACACGGUCCAGACUCCUACGGGAGGCAGCAGUGGGGAAUAUUGCACAAUGGGCGCAAGCCUGAUGCAGCCAUGCCGCGUGUAUGAAGAAGGCCUUCGGGUUGUAAAGUACUUUCAGUCGUGAGGAAGGUGGUAGUGUUAAUAGCACUAUCAUUUGACGUUAGCGACAGAAGAAGCACCGGCUAACUCCGUGCCAGCAGCCGCGGUAAUACGGAGGGUGCGAGCGUUAAUCGGAAUUACUGGGCGUAAAGCGCAUGCAGGUGGUUUGUUAAGUCAGAUGUGAAAGCCCGGGGCUCAACCUCGGAAUAGCAUUUGAAACUGGCAGACUAGAGUACUGUAGAGGGGGGUAGAAUUUCAGGUGUAGCGGUGAAAUGCGUAGAGAUCUGAAGGAAUACC